CCUACGGGCGGCAGCAGUGAGGAAUAUUGGUCAAUGGACGAGAGUCUGAACCAGCCAAGUAGCGUGAAGGAUGACUGCCCUAUGGGUUGUAAACUUCUUUUAUAAAGGAAUAAAACGAGGCACGUGUGCCUUUUUGCAUGUACUUUAUGAAUAAGGAUCGGCUAACUCAGUGCCAGCAGCCGCGGUAAUACGGAGGAGCCGAGUGUUAUCCGGAUUUAUUGGGUUUAAAGGGAGCGUAGAUGGGUUGUUAAGUCAGUUGGGAAAGUUUGCGGCUCAACCGUAAAAUUGCAAUUGAUACUGGCAGUCUUGAGUACAGUUGAGGUAGGCGGAAUUCGUGGUGUAGCGGUGAAAUGCUUAGAUAUCACGAAGAACCCCGAUUGCGAAGGCAGCUUACUAAACUGUGACUGACAUUGAUGCUCGAAAGUGUGGGUAUCAAACAGGAUUAGAUACCCUGGUAGUC
rnacentral:rRNA from 1 species